rnacentral:vault_RNA from 9 species
GGGUCGGCUGUAGCUCAAGCGGUUACUUCGCAACUUCAGAAUGCUUCUGGACAACCCCUUCCAGGGUUCGAGACCCGCGGGCGCCCUCUGACCCUUUU